CACACAUGCACACGCAUACACACAGCACACAGCACAGAUACACACCAUUGAGCAAUACCCGUUUGACCUUCCUCACCUAGGAUCUAGAGGAUUUUAUAAGAGUUCUGACAGAAGCUAGUCUGCAAAACUUGGGACUCUGCCAUGCUGUCUUGCAGAUGGAAAGUGAGCUAGGCUGCUUCUUUCUUCCUCUAAUUACCCUUCCAUCCAAAAUUAUUCCAGGAAGUCCUCAAGAAAUAUAUGGAGAUACAUGUGUACAUACACAUAGAUUCCCAAUGAACUUUCAUAAAGGAUAGUGGCUAGUCUCACAGACUUCAGCAAAGACUGCCACUCACUGUGAUCUGGCGCAAGUGGCUCAGUUCUUCCAACCUUCAGUGUCUUCCUCUGUGAGGUA